UACACUCCUGCGGGAGGCAGCAGUGGGGAAUAUUGGACAAUGGGCGCAAGCCUGAUCCAGCCAUGCCGCGUGAGUGAUGAAGGCCCUAGGGUUGUAAAGCUCUUUCACCGGUGAAGAUAAUGACGGUAACCGGAGAAGAAGCCCCGGCUAACUUCGUGCCAGCAGCCGCGGUAAUACGAAGGGGGCUAGCGUUGUUCGGAUUUACUGGGCGUAAAGCGCACGUAGGCGGACUAUUAAGUCAGGGGUGAAAUCCCGGGGCUCAACCCCGGAACUGCCUUUGAUACUGGUAGUCUUGAGUUCGAGAGAGGUGAGUGGAAUUCCGAGUGUAGAGGUGAAAUUCGUAGAUAUUCGGAGGAACACCAGUGGCGAAGGCGGCUCACUGGCUCGAUACUGACGCUGAGGUGCGAAAGCGUGGGGGGCAAACAGGAUUAGAAACCCUUGUAGUCCCAUGA
rnacentral:rRNA from 1 species